CAGACGAUGCGUCAUGCAUAUCAAUAAGCGGAGGAAAAGAAACUAACAAGGAUUCCCCUAGUAACGGCGAGUGAAGCGGGAAGAGCUCAAAUUUGAAAUCUUAAAGGGUUUCCCUUUACGAAUUGUAGUUCAAAGAAGUGUUUUCUGUUGAGGUUUUGGUAAAAGUUCUUUGGAAUAGGACAUCAUAGAGGGUGAGAAUCCCGUAUUUGACCUUUACUUUCAACUUUGUGAUACACUUUCAAAGAGUCGGAUUGUUUGGGAAUGCAGUCCAAAAUGGGUGGUAAAUUUCAUCUAAAGCUAAAUAUUGGCGAGAGACCGAUAGCGAACAAGUACCGUGAGGGAAAGAUGAAAAGAACUUUGAAAAGAGAGUUAAACAGUACGUGAAAUUGUCAAAAGGGAAGCGUUUGACACCAGUGUUGUUUUUCUGAAAAUCAAUUAAAGAACUGUUUAUGCUAAGCUGUUUAGACUUUAUCAGCUAACUGUUUAGUUUUGAGCUUUUCUUUAAUGCACUUUUCAGUUAACAAGUCAACAUCAAUUUCUUUUGCUGUAAAAAAGCUUGAGGAAGGUGGCUUGAGAUUCGUCUUAAGUGUUUAUAGCCUCUUGCCUAUGCAGUCGGAGAGAUUGAGGUCUGCAGCGUAGAUCCUUCGGGGCUAAAUGCAUUUGUGCUAAGUUAUAGCAUUUUAUAGACAACUUGUUGACUAUGAUUUGUCUUGUAGCUUACUCGCUUAUGUUAUUUUACCUACGCUUAGGAUGUUGAGCGCAUGUCUCUCUCU
rnacentral:rRNA from 1 species